UAUAUAUAUUUCUUUUACCUGUUUCUUACAUUCUCCUUCUCUCCUUUUCUUUAAGGAAAACAAUUAUAUGAUAAUCAUUUCCUCUUUUGUUAUUUUUAUUUAUUUUUUUUUCCUCUAAAUAUGCAUCCAAAGAUACAUGUAUUUUCUAUUAAUACUUCCUGAUAUCGCAUACCAAAAAUUUUAUCCAUUAUCAUACCUUCUUUCUUUAUGGAUCGGCAAGUGUGAAUAACUUAAAGAUUCGAAUGUAACGUUCCGGACCAGUGUUCACGCUCAGCUUUAGGUCCAAAUCUACCUUUCUUCUCGUGGUCUGGCAGGUGCAAAUAACCUAAAAUUCCUUAUAUAAAGUCCUUAUGUAACAAAAAGGAUCAGUCUUCGCAUUUAACUUUAGAUUCACGAUAAUUAUUUUCAACUUUGUCAACAAAUUUUAUUCUUUCAGUCUUUUCAGUUAAAAUUUAUUAUUUUUUUCAUUUACUCUAUUCUUCCCAUUUAUCUCGUUAUCUUGUCUUUUAAAAAAGGGUAAGAGAGAAAGAGAAAUGAUUAUCGAACUGUCUCCUAAAACUAAUAAUCACUCCUUUACUAAACAUUACGUGUGCUCCUUCAGUGGACGCGACACGAAAAACUAAACCCCGGCACAGUUACGGCGCUGAGCAAAGAACGCGGGAAAUAGAAAAAAAUAGGACAAUCCGGAAACUCCUGGCUCAGACGUCCGUGGAUCCUAGCUUUAAAAUAGAUUAUAGUAAACUUAAGUUAGAUAAGGAUUCAUUCGACUUAAAAGCACGACAACUAAUAAUUAAUCCACCGACAAACACAACAGACAAUCUUCUUCUCUCAUAUUAAUCCAUCUCUUCCCCCAUCAGAAUUCAUACCUGCUCCCUUCCCCGAAUUUUCACAAUCUUGUACUCCCCCGCCCCCUCUAAUUAUUCUCCUGUAACGUUUGAGGAACCUCAGUGUUCGAGGAUUUCCCCUCCCUCGUUUGAAUAUUUACCUCCCCUCAAUUAUCAACCGUCGACCACCGUAACUCUCCCUCCUUCCUUCGAAAAUCCUUCUUCUUGUCAACCUUCACAACCAUCAACUCCCCCUGCCUUUUUCGAAAAUCCUCCUCCUUAUCUUCCGCAAUCUUCAACUCUUCCGCGCUCCUCGCCUCUCGAAUCGUCAAACCUCCCAGAGGAGUCAAACGUUUUCGGGAAAUUCCUGGAAUUCUUGGAAGGGCUACCUGACUUUAAGGAGGAACCGCGGGAUUUCAGGUCGGAAUCCUGUGACCCCGAAGAGAUGUUGGAGUCCCUCUUUGAAGAUCUGGAUCGCGAAAGCUGGUACCGCUACAUAAUAAACUAUUUUCUCCCUUUCCCUGUCCCUCUCAAAGACAACGACUCGUGUCGGUCCCGACAUAGUCGACCUCCAUCAGUUUUAUGAAAUCCUCGAUACUGUCCCACCUGGUUCUAUUAUCCCUUUCAUUAUCCCAGGUGCCCCGUUCCCUCUUGUCGUCCCAGUCGAGGUUUUCUGAAUAAGAUUUCCUCCCUCUCCUACAAUCGAAUUUGAAAACCUUUCAUAAUCUUUCUCCUUAUUUUUUCAUUUUAUACUUUUUAUUUAUUUAAUUACAAUUCUACAUUGUAAAAUCCAACACAGGAAUGUAAAUUUUAAUUUGUCCUUUUCGAUUCCGGUUGAUGAUCUCCGCACUCAUGUAACACCCGAAAACAAACAAUUCCCUACACCAUACACACACACUCACACAUAUAAAUGUAACUCUUUAUAAUUUAUAAUAUGAUUACCAUUGUAAUUGAAUAUAUACAUAAAUAUUUAAAUGUAUCUGAAAUCAUAUUUAAAGGUUCUUUUCCUUUCUCUUUUUGAAUAAAUACAAAAUUUUAACUUUAAAAUUCGCGUAGUUUAUUAACCCGUACCCUGAUAUCGCACAAGAUCCCGUCCUGGGUAAUAGAGAUUCAGUUCCUUUAUCAAAAAGGGGACCCCCGAACGAACGGCCUACUAUAAAGCGACCCUUCCGGUCGUUGACCUGUCUUAGGCCCUGGUCAAUUCGUUCGUCUCCAAGACACACGUUGUCUAGCGUUUGUUUGGCGUUAGAUAGGUUACGCCCUCCCACGGUCGGGAGCGGCGCACUUGAAUACAGUAUAAUCGAGCACGGUGCAAAUGGACACGUUACAAAUGGAUACGAGAUUUUGCACACGGUUCUAUUAGACACAGUGCAUUUAGACACAGCAAUUUUGGACACAGUAGCUUUUGGACAAGUAGGAAAAUACUCAUUGUUUACUUGGACACCGCUCACUUGGACACUGUUCAUUUGGACACCGUUUAUUUGGAUACCGUUUGUUCGGACACAGAAAAACGAGCACCGUUCAUUUAGACACCGUUCAUUUGCCCACUGUUUGUUUGCCCACGGUUCGUUUGGACACCGUUCAUUUGCCCACCGUUCGUUUGGACACCGUUUAUUUGACACAGACAAUCAUUAGCAAGUGGCUGACAGUUUCCAGUCAGUCAACUUUAAUCUAUUAUCCUACUAUUAUUUAAAACACCCCCAUAAUAUCAAUACUAAGUAAGAUUUAUAAAUUCCAUGCAAAAUAUACACUACUGUUGUCAUUUAAACCUGACUUAAUCUUGCAACAUUUUGCUCUUUUU